UUUAGAACUCGAGAUAUGGGCUGAACACUGAUCAGUGUUUGGGCUGCAGGACAGAUUCUGACUUCUCCAUUCUUGCUACAAUUUGAACUUGAAAACGGCCUUUUUGAAUAUUGGACUAUAAUGAAAGUUUUAGGCCUAUGUUUUAGCUUUCCAUC
rfam:Populus trichocarpa scaffold_136_contig_1, whole genome shotgun sequence.